GGGGAAGUGGAGUCAGUUGGAUACUGUGAGAAGAAGGAGGAAUAUGUGAUUAGAGGAGGUGACUAUGAGAAACAUCAAGGAGCUUUCAUACAUUGUGCUGUAUGUGAAAAGAGAGGAAAUUUCAAUCUUGUGUCUCAUUAGGAGAUCUUUAUCCCUGUGGAGACUUCCCUCUUACUUCACAAGAGCUUACUGCCUGUAAUAGGAUUUGGUGGACAACUCUGCUGAGUGCUUUCUGAGGAGCCUGGAGGAUUACACCAGAUUAGAUUUUUCUACCAUUUAUUUGUGAGGUGGACCUGUUGGAGCAAGUCUGGAGAAAGGCCAUGAAGAUCAUCUGGGGGCUGAAACAACUCUCCUAUGAAGACAGGAUGAGAGAGUUGGAUGAAGAAGAACAGGCUCCAGGGUUACCUUGAAGCAGCCUUCUGGUGACUGGAGUGGGCCUACAAGAAAACUGGGAAGCAUCUUUUUCCAAGGGCCUGUAGUGACAGGACAAGGGCAAUGGCUUUAAACUGAAAAAAGGUCCAUUUAGAUAUUAGGAGGAAAUUCUUGAAGGUGGUGAGGUACUGGAACAGGUUGCUCAGGGAAGUUGAGGCUGUUCUAUCCCUGAAAGUACUCAAGGCCUGGCUGGAUGGGACUUGGAGCACCCUGGUCCAGUGAAAGGCAUCCCAGCCCAUGGCCAGGUGUUUGGAACAGGAUGACCUUUAAGGUCCCUUUUAACCCUAAUCUUUUCAAGAUUCUGUAAUUUCCACUCAUACCUGUUUGUAUGUGAUUUUGAAAUAGAGGUUGGGAAAACUGCAUUUGUGUAGAUCUCUUCCUGAUUAAUGUUUGUAGACAUAACAGAAAUUGCAGUUUCCAUGUCAAUAAAUUGAAAAUUCUUGUGAUAUUUAUUUGUAUGGGCACAAUGAAGCUGACCUUCUUUGAAACUGGUAAAAAAAUUUAAGUGCAUUUAGUUAUAAGAAUUGUUUAAUUUCCUUCUUUGCUAAAAAACACACAUGCAUUAUAGAAAGACCCCCCAAGAUAAUAAUUCUAACUGAUCGUAGUCAAAUCAUGGAAGAGUGAGCAAUUUAUAAAUCAUGUUAGUUAAACCAUGAUAUUUAAAUAGAUAUUUAAUGCUUAACAUGCAUGAUACCUUAAAAUAAAACCAACAAAUCAAGACAAUUAAUGCAAAUGGGUUUCCAGACUACUACAAUGGUCUGAUGGAAGUAAAUAUUCGCAUUAUACACCCUUUCUGUGGCUCUUUGUCAAAACCACAUACCACCGAGAAUGUGAAAUGUGGCCAGAGCUGAUAAGACAAACAAAUUGUAUCUUUUCAGCAGUUUACGUAACUGAUUCUUCACGGACAAGCACUGUUCCAGACAAUUUUUCCAAUGGUACAAACAUAUAAAUGAGGUAAAAAUUGGUGACCUAAUAAAAUGAAACUUAAGCAAGGUACGAUUUUCUCUGUGUUGAGGUGGAACAUAUUUACAAUAAACAUUUGACAUGCUGG